UAUUCUUCCUAUUCGGGAAGGAUGAGAAGCUUCGACCAAGGUUCGAUUCGAGCGUUAGCGAGAAAGCGUUGCCGCAGGCAACGACCCGAAGGGCGAAGCGCGCAGCGUUGAGUAAUCCUUCCCCCACCACCA
rnacentral:sRNA from 3 species